UGUGGGUGUUUUUUCCUUUAAAAGUUUCCACAAAAAAAAUAAAGAAAUUUUCAUAGAUUAUUUUGACAAAGACCACUUUCAGACAGGAUGGCUGGUGUCACCCAGAUGCAGAUACAUGUGGUAUAAUUAAACUCUACAUAAUAAACAUCCACAGCUGAAACUAGAAUACGUCAGUAACUAAUGACAGGGUUAAUAAUUUGAUUCUAAUUCUUUCAUGAGGAAAAAGUAGAGGUUAAAAAAAAAAAAAAAAAAGGUUAAAGUUGCACAGCUACAUUAUGAAAAAUGUUUCAUAGCUCAAUUUUGCAUUUGAUCUCAGAAGCACGGAGAUAGACCCAAAAGCAACGAUCCAACGUACACGGACUCCUCUCAGCUCAAACGACAUCGACCCACAGCUUCAAAACACGCCAAAUGUGGCCGUGCGAUGUGAAGCAGCGGUUUUUGCUGGAUUUGCAGGUUUUUGUAACGACACCGUGGCCGAUGCCUUUCAAGGCCCGUCUCCUCCACUUGAGCUUAGCCGCUCUCAUCUCUCUGUCUCUGCUUGUCCGUUCCAGCGGGUUUGCUUUGGAUGCUCGAGUGCUGCUUUGCGUUGCUUUCCAAAUGUCUGCUGCCUCCUUGCUGCCGUUGGCCUCUUGUGGACAACAAUGCAUUUUAGUGGGGAAGCCCUAACCCCUCACCCUCCAGGGUUACAGCGGGAUCAAACUAAUGGACAGGACUGACACGCGUUCGGCGUGUAAAAUAGAGCAUAAGGCAGUAGAGGCCAAGCGUGUUUUCAGUUGACGUGGGAGAAACAUCCCUUACAGCAGGACACGAGGAUGGACAUGACCUCUGACUGUCCAGUUUGAGUCAGAUGAGUCUUCCAUCACUUUUGUCUUCAGAUGACAGCUUUUACAAAGUGCAUCUCCACGAUUUACUUUGCAACGCGUUAAUAUCAGGACCGCACACAAGUCUCAUUAGAUUUGCAUUUCCUCUGUAAAACUGGAUAAUACAAGUCAAACUAUGGCACAGCAGUUUUGUGGUGUGUGUGUGUGUGUGUGUGUUUGUGUUAACCCCUGUUCAAACACACUGUGUGGUAGUGUGGGUGUGGCGUUACACCUCGCGUGGCACUGGGCAGCUAAGAUAAGAGCUGAUCCUAUCCAUGCCUCCCUUCUGCAGCGCCCGCCCCCACACACACAAACACACACACACAUCUAGUGUGGUACCCAACAUGCCAUUGUAAUCUCAUUUUACAAUCCUGAUGCCCACAGCCGCAAAACACACAGAGAAGCCAACUAAAUCCAGAUGUCACGCGUACACUACGCUGGAGGGCUACGGUGAUACGGGAGGUCACAUGGUGGAGCCGGCGCCACGUCCACCACGGCUUCAAGUCUCCCUCUCUCUCUGUCCAUCUUCGCUUGCAAUGUCCAAUUAAUCAGAAAGAGUGCAUUUUCCCACAACUAUUGAUAAAAGAAAGAUGUGACGGGCUCAGAAAUAUUCAGGCCCAAAGCAGCGUCACUCAUUCACUAACACAUCAGGUCCAGAGUGAAAACACAUUCAGACGAUAAAAGCCUUUUUCUUCUUCUUCUAGACCGCACGACAAAACUACAGAACCACACAAGAGAGAAAACUAUCCUCCAGGAGGGGAGGAGAGGGAGCGCUUACCUUCCCUCCUCUGGGAGAUAGAGUUACCAUUGGGUACAAACUGCUCUCCUAAUUCACCAAGACUUUCAGUGAUGCACACACACGCACACACACACACACACACACACGCAAGCACGCACACACACACACACACACACACACGCACGCACACGCACCUUCUGGUCUCCAGUUCAUUACCACUUUCUGCCUACUGUUACCUAUCCUAUACUAAAAGGAGGAUGUUAUAUUCUUUUUCAGAUAAAAAUGGACCAAAUAAACCACAUGAGGUUUGAUACGAAAUAUUGUGCAAUGAAUUACGGAUCUAAAGACGGUGAAACCUGGUUCCAGUGGUCCAGGCCACGGUUAUUGGGCUCAUCUCAGGCGUGGUGAGGCUCUCACACACACACACACACACACACACACACACACCUUUGUGUUGUAUGCACACACACCAUCAAACUCCAACAGAGACACAACUCCCCUUUCAUUCAAAAUUGUCUCAUUUUCUCACAUUUUCAAAACGCAGAAAAUUAAUAACAUUAAUAAUAAAAACAUGUUUUCUCAAGUAUGAAAUUUGUUUGACAGCCGCCCGGUCCGUGUGCGUGUGCGUGUGUGUGUGUGGGGGCGGGCUGAGUGCAAGUUUAGCCGAAAGUGUUUUCUACUUGAUAUUUAAAUGCUGCCCUGUGAAGAACUAACAGCCACAUUAAAACAAAUGAGCACCUGCAGUCGCGGCCACAGAUGUAUGUGGGUGUUUUUUCCUUUAAAAGUUUCCACAAAAAAAAUAAAGAAAUUUUCAUAGAUUAUUUUGACAAAGACCACUUUCAGACAGGAUGGCUGGUGUCACCCAGAUGCAG
ensembl:lncRNA